GAAGUGGUUCUUCAUUGUACUAGAUUUCAGCUGAGGAGUGGAGCGCUCUGUCAUCAGGACUAAACAUCAUUGUACUGGUGGAGCCUGCACUGUCAGCUGCCCUACAAAGGAAGGUACAAACGUUUCUUCAUCUUUGGAGCUGACCCUUUCUAGGCAACUUCACAACGAACAUCUUCUCAAACAGUGAGAAAAGUAUACCUGCUGAUUGGAAUUCACCAGGCUUACGUCAGACCUGACCACAGAAGUUAGCCACCUUCAGCAAAAUAACCCAAGAAAUGCCAGGGAUGAUUUACAGUACUCUUCUUCAGAUAUCAGGAUCACAGUUUCCAAAGAUGGUAAGAAAUCAAAAUAAGAAGUGGUCUGCAAUGUAAAUAUUGUACUACACUCAAGGCAAGCCAUAUCCUGUAUCUCUAUCUAAAAAUAAGACUAUCUGCAGAAGUCUACCAGAAUAUGGAACAGCAGUGUUUUGUAGGAGAUGUUGCAGUAGAAACUUUUCUGCAAAGUCUCCCCUUGACAACACAAGAUUAGGAAAGACUUCAAGAAACUGCUCUUUGAAAACAACAGAAAGUCUUCUAGUGACCACCAGUUUCUUUCAUUACCUGCUAACUCAGCUGAAAAUAGGCAUAUUUACUGCAAAAUAAUAAGCAAUGACAAACUGGAGGAAGUUCUAUUACUGAAAAAUCCCACGCAGAUUUGCCUUUCCAUUUGACAAGAAAGUUCACUGGUUGAGUAGUCACUUCACAAUACUUUUUUUUUAACGUGUCUAUAUAUAUCAAUAUAUAAUAAAAGCAACUUCUCACAUAUGUGAUACAGAAGCAAAUAUAAAAAUUUUGUACUUCAUACAUUUUCUCCAUUCAGUGUAUAUUUUGCGGACAAACCCCUGAGACGCAAACCCUAGUAAUUCAUUAGCAUAACAACAGUGUAUUAAUAACAUCAAUCACAUAAUAAAACAAUAAUAGCUUAAGGAACAUCAACAUUUUGUCACCCAUGUAUCUCCCACGAAAAAGAAUACUAAUAUAAAUGCCACUGAUAAAAGCAUGACUUCAUUCUUCUGUCACACACAAAAUAUCACUACCAUAUAAUUAAUGCCAGUAAACUCACAGGCUGCACUCAUGCAUUGCUUUUAUUCCCCUUGGAAGGAAAUAAUUCCAAUGGUUUUCAUCAUAUGCAAGUCAGUUUUACUACAAGUCUUUUCAAUCCACAAGAAAAGCAUUGUUUAAAAAUUCAUUAAAUACUGUACUUUCAGUCCAGACUCCUGUACACAAAAGCAAGGGGAUUCACUGUAAGGGAAGGAGAGCUCCUGCAUCAAAGGGAUCCUUGCCUGUGGUUGGUUUGCUGUCACUCUGUGACGGACUGAAUUCACACUAUCACUUGCUCUGGCUGAUGAACUGCUACUGCUUAGCAAGGGCCUAAAAAAUAUGCAUGGAACAACCAUGGGCCAUCAUUCAUGCACACUGAUAUGGGAGUCUACAUAAAAAAUCCUUUGAAGAGGAUUUUAAAAACCAUAACCCAAAAACUUUCAAGAGAGUAAAUAAAUUCUUCUUUAUAUAUGUCUCCAGGAAGUUAUCUGGCUUCUUAAAACAGUCUUUAUGCUUA